GACGAACGCUGGCGGCGUGCUUAACACAUGCAAGUCGAACGGAAAGGCCCUGCUUUUGUGGGGUGCUCGAGUGGCGAACGGGUGAGUAACACGUGAGUAACCUGCCCUUGACUUUGGGAUAACUUCAGGAAACUGGGGCUAUUACCGGAUAGGAUCUCCUGCUGCAUGGUGUGGGUUGGAAAGUUUCGGCGGUUGGGGCUGGACUCGCGGCUUAUCAGCUGGUUGGUGGGGUAGUGGCUUACCAAGGCUUUGACGGGUAGCCGGCCUGAGAGGGUGAACGGCGACAAUGGGACUGAGAUACGGACCAGACUCCUACGGGAGGCAGCAGUGGGGAAUAUUGCACAGUGGGCGGAAGCCAGAUGCGGCAACGCCGCGUGCGGGAUGACGGGCUUCGGGUUGUAAACCGCUUUCGCCUGUGACGAAGAGUGAGUGACGGUAAUGGGUAAGAAAGCACCGGCUAACUACGUG
rnacentral:rRNA from 1 species